rnacentral:rRNA from 1 species
CACGUAGGGGGCGAGCGUUGUCCGGAUUUAUUGGGCGUAAAGAGCUCGUAGGCGGCUCGGUAAGUCGGGUGUGAAACCUCCAGGCUCAACCUGGAGACGCCACCCGAUACUACCGUGGCUAGAGUCCGGUAGAGGAGCGUAGAAUUCCUGGUGUAGCGGUGAAAUGCGCAGAUAUCAGGAGGAAUACCAGCGGCGAAGGCGGCGCUCUGGGCCGGUACUGACGCUGAGGAGCGAAAGCGUGGGGAGCGAACAGG